GAAAAAAAAGGCGUGGAGAGAAGAAUCUGGGAGGAGAGGAUUGGUGUUAACGGAAGUCCUAAUCUCGGUUCGGAAGCGGCGACGAGCACUGUGACUCCACGUAGGGAGUGAGCUCGUGUUGGUACCUUUUUGGCUGGACCUCGAGUAUUUUCUUUUCAGGUGCGUGACGGCACGUGGGUCCACUGCAGAGUCUAGACAGGAGUUGUGUAUAUAGAAGUCUAGCUUUUUGACUCUUUUGAUUAUGUGCCUAUUUUUGGUGGUUGUAUAUGUUGUAAAUAUAUGUGGGCACA